CAGAAGUCGAGCAUAGCCUUCCAGGACUC
rnacentral:piRNA from 1 species